rnacentral:rRNA from 1 species
GAGCACGCCGCGUGAACGAUGAAGGUUUUCGGAUCGUAAAGUUCUGUUGUUAGGGAAGAACAAGUACCGUUCAAAUAGGGCGGUACCUUGACGGUACCUAACGAGGAAGCCCCGGCUAACUACGUGCCAGCAGCCGCGGUAAUACGUAGGGGGCAAGCGUUGUCCGGAAUUAUUGGGCGUAAAGCGCGCGCAGGCGGUUUUUUAAGUCUGAUGUGAAAUCUUGUGGCUCAACCACAAGCGGUCAUUGGAAACUGGAGAACUUGAGUACAGAAGAGGAGAGUGGAAUUCCACGUGUAGCGGUGAAAUGCGUAGAUAUGUGGAGGAACACCAGUGGCGAAGGCGACUCUCUGGUCUGUAACUGACGCUGAGGCGCGAAAGCGUGGGGAGCGAACAGGAUUAGAUACCCUGGUAGUCCACGCCGUAAACGAUGAGUGCUAGGUGUUAGGGGGUUUCCGCCCCUUAGUGCUGCAGUUAACGCAUUAAGCACUCCGCCUGGGGAGUACGGCCGCAAGGCUGAAACUCAAAAGAAUUGACGGGGACCCGCACAAGCGGUGGAGCAUGUGGUUUAAUUCGAAGCAACGCGAAGAACCUUACCAGGUCUUGACAUCCGCUGACAAUCCUAGAGAUAGGACUUUCCCUUCGGGGACAGCGUGACAGGUGGUGCAUGGUUGUCGUCAGCUCGUGUCGUGAGAUGUUGGGU